rnacentral:tRNA from 1 species
ACUUUUAUAGGAUAAAAGUAAUCCAUUGGUCUUAGGAACCAAAAAUUAUUGGUGCAAAUCCAAAUAAAAGUA